rnacentral:lncRNA from 1 species
CUUCGAAGUACGGUUAUGGAAUAUUUAGAAUUUUGAUCGACCCUGAUUUACCAUUUCGGAUAGUUUCUGGAACGCACGAACAAAACGCCGCUAUUUGGAUAUAACGAUGGAUUAUUUGGGACCAAACCAACAUUUGUUAUUGAAGUAGCAGUCCUGGGAGUGCAUUCUGACGAAGACAACAAAGGACACAACACACCUUCAGGCUGUGUUAAAGCUAUUUCACCAAGAAGGAGAGUGAAGCAGUGCUGCAUCAGAUGACUUGGCCUCCACAAUCACCUGACCUCAACCUAAUUCAGAUUGUUUGGUUUGAGUUGGACCGCAGAGUGAAGGAAAAGCAGCCAACAAGCGCUCAGCAUAUGUGGGAACUCCUUCAAGAUUGUUGGAAAAUCAUUCCAGGUGAAGCUGGUUGAGAGAAUGCCAAGAGUGUGCAAAGCUGUCAUCAAGGCAAAUGUUGGCUACUUUGAAGAAUCACAAAUAUAUAUUUUGAUUUGUUUAACACUUAUUUGGUUACUACAUGAUUCAAUAUGUGUUAUUUCAUCGUUUUGAUAUAUUCACUAUUAUUCUACAAUGUAGAAAAUAGUAAAAAAAAUUAAGAAAAACCCUUGAGUAGGUCCGUCCAAACUUUUGACUGGUACUGUAUAUAAUAAAUAUAUAUAUAUAUCCAUUUAUUCUUCAAGAAUAUAACUUAUAAAUGCCUCAUGAGCUUAGUUGAACUGUCACACUCCAUGAGAACCCAAAAUAUAAGCUUGUUUUACUCCAAUGUUUGUAAACAUUGUACAUGUAAACAAACACUGUAUGCAGUGUAGCCUCAUAACACGGUUAAACAAUAAUUUGU